AGCUCGUCAGGCUCAUAACCUGAAGGCCGCAGGUUCAAAUCCUGCCCCCGCAA
rnacentral:tRNA from 3 species